UACAGAGGUCUCAAGCGUUGUUCGGAUUCAUUGGGCGUAAAGGGUGCGUAGGCGGCGCGGUAAGUCGGGUGUGAAAUCUUGGAGCUUAACUCCGCAAACUGCAUUCGAUACUGCCGUGCUUGAGGACUGGAGAGGAGACUGGAAUUUACGGUGUAGCGGUGAAAUGCUUAGAUAUGACAUAGAACACCCCAUUGCGAAGGCAGCUCACUACGGGAUGAUUGACACUGAGGCACGAAAGCGUGGGGGAUCAAACAGG
rnacentral:rRNA from 1 species